UACGGAGGAGGCAAGCGCUAUCCGGAAUUAUUGGGCGUAAAGCGUCCGCAGGUGGCACUUCAAGUCUGUCGUCAAAGACUGGGGCUUAACCCUGGAAAGGCGGUGGAAACUGAAGCGCUAGAGUGCGGUAGGGGUAGAGGGAAUUCCCGGUGUAGCGGUGAAAUGCGUAGAGAUCGGGAAGAACAUCGGUGGCGAAAGCGCUCUACUGGACCGCAACUGACACUCAGGGACGAAAGCUAGGGGAGCGAAUGGG
rnacentral:rRNA from 1 species